ACCUGGGAACUGCAUUUCGAACUGGCAAACUAGAGUGUGAUAGAGGGUGGUAGAAUUUCAGGUGUAGCGGUGAAAUGCGUAGAGAUCUGAAGGAAUACCGAUGGCGAAGGCAGCCACCUGGGUCAACACUGACGCUCAUGUACGAAAGCGUGGGGAGCAAACGGGAUUAGAUACCCCGGUAGUCCACGCCGUAAACGAUGUCUACUAGAAGCUCGGAACCUCGGUUCUGUUUUUCAAAGCUAACGCAUUAAGUAGACCGCCUGGGGAGUACGGCCGCAAGGUUAAAACUCAAAUGAAUUGACGGGGGCCCGCACAAGCGGUGGAGCAUGUGGUUUAAUUCGAUGCAACGCGAAGAACCUUACCUACACUUGACAUACAGAGAACUUUCUAGAGAU
rnacentral:rRNA from 1 species